rnacentral:rRNA from 1 species
UACGGGAGGGGCAAGCGUUGUUCGGAAUUACUGGGCGUAAAGGGCUCGUAGGCGGCCAAUUAAGUCAUACGUGAAAUCCCUCGGCUUAACCGGGGAACUGCGUAUGAUACUGGAUGGCUUGAGUUCGGGAGAGGGAUGCGGAAUUCCAGGUGUAGCGGUGAAAUGCGUAGAUAUCUGGAGGAACACCGGUGGCGAAGGCGGCAUCCUGGACCGAUACUGACGCUGAGGAGCGAAAGCCAGGGGAGCAAACGGGAUUAGAUACCCCGGUAGU